ACGCUAGCAUACACAUGCAGUCGAGCGGAACGAGUUAUCUGAACCUUCGGGGGAACGAUAACGGCGUCGAGCGGCGGACGGGUGAGUAAUGCCUAGGAAAUUGCCCUGGUGUGGGGGAUAACCAUUGGAAACGAUGGCUAAUACCGCAUAAUACCUACGGGUCAAAGAGGGGGACCUUCGGGCCUCUCGCGUCAGGAUAUGCCUAGGUGGGAUUAGCUAGUUGGUGAGGUAAUGGCUCACCAAGGCGACGAUCCCUAGCUGGUCUGAGAGGAUGAUCAGCCACACUGGAACUGAGACACGGUCCAGACUCCUACGGGAGGCAGCAGUGGGGAAUAUUGCACAAUGGGCGCAAGCCUGAUGCAGCCAUGCCGCGUGUGUGAAGAAGGCCUUCGGGUUGUAAAGCACUUUCAGUCGUGAGGAAGGUAGUGUAGUUAAUAGCUGCAUUAUUUGACGUUAGCGACAGAAGAAGCACCGGCUAACUCCGUGCCAGCAGCCGCGGUAAUACGGAGGGUGCGAGCGUUAAUCGGAAUUACUGGGCGUAAAGCGCAUGCAGGUGGUUUGUUAAGUCAGAUGUGAAAGCCCGGGGCUCAACCUCGGAAUAGCAUUUGAAACUGGCAGACUAGAGUACUGUAGAGGGGGGUAGAAUUUCAGGUGUAGCGGUGAAAUGCGUAGAGAUCUGAAGGAAUACCGGUGGCGAAGGCGG
rnacentral:rRNA from 1 species